AUGAUCCUGUGGCUGAAUAUAGUGCCCUUGUUAGUGCUCCUUCAAGGAGUCCAGUCUCAAGUCCAGUUGGUGGAGUCUGGAGGGGAUGUGAGAAGACCUGGGGAGUCCCUCCGUCUCUCCUGCCAGGCCUCUGGAUUCACCUUUAGCAGCUAUACAAUGCACUGGAUGAGACAGUCUCCUGGGAAAGGACUUGAAUGGGUGGCAGCAAUAGCUACAGGAUCAUCUUCCACUUACUACCCAGACAAAGUCAAGGGACGCUUCACCAUCUCCAGGGAUGAUUCUCGCUACCAGCUGUAUCUGCAAAUGAACAGUCUCAAACUAGAGGAUUCUGCUGUUUAUUACUGUGCGAGACACACAGUGAGAGGAAGUAAAUCGGAUGUCAAGCAAAAACUAUUUUUUUUCCUCUGA